rnacentral:rRNA from 1 species
AUUGAACGCUGGCGGCAGGCCUAACACAUGCAAGUCGAACGGUAACAGGAAGAAGCUUGCUUCUUUGCUGACGAGUGGCGGACGGGUGAGUAAUGUCUGGGAAACUGCCUGAUGGAGGGGGAUAACUACUGGAAACGGUAGCUAAUACCGCAUAACGUCGCAAGACCAAAAAGGGGGACCUUCGGGCCUCUUGCCAUCGGAUGUGCCCAGAUGGGAUUCGCUAGUAGGUGGGGUAACGGCUCACCUAGGCGACGAUCCCUAGCUGGUCUGAGAGGAUGACCAGCCACACUGGAACUGAGACACGGUCCAGACUCCUACGGGAGGCAGCAGUGGGGAAUAUUGCACAAUGGGCGCAAGCCUGAUGCAGCCAUGCCGCGUGUAUGAAGAAGGCCUUCGGGUUGUAAAGUACUUUCAGCGGGGAGGAAGGGAGUAAAGUUAAUACCUUUGCUCAUUGACGUUACCCGCAGAAGAAGCACCGGCUAACUCCGUG